rnacentral:rRNA from 1 species
CAUGCAAGUCGAACGAGAAUCUGCUGAAGGAGGAUUCGUCCAACGGAUGUAGAGGAAAGUGGCGGACGGGUGAGUAACGCGUGAGGAACCUGCCUUGAAGAGGGGGACAACAGUUGGAAACGACUGCUAAUACCGCAUGAAGCAUAGGGGUCGCAUGAUCCUUAUGCCAAAGAUUUAUCGCUUCAAGAUGGCCUCGCGUCUGAUUAGCUGGUUGGCGGGGUAACGGCCCACCAAGGCGACGAUCAGUAGCCGGACUGAGAGGUUGAACGGCCACAUUGGGACUGAGAUACGGCCCAGACUCCUACGGGAGGCAGCAGUGGGGAAUAUUGGGCAAUGGGCGCAAGCCUGACCCAGCAACGCCGCGUGAAGGAAGAAGGCUUUCGGGUUGUAAACUUCUUUUAAGAGGGAAGAGCAGAAGACGGUACCUCUAGAAUAAGCCACGGCUAACUACGUGCCAGCAGCCGCGGUAAUACGUAGGUGGCAAGCGUUGUCCGGAUUUACUGGGUGUAAAGGGCGUGCAGCCGGGUCUGCAAGUCAGAUGUGAAAUCCAUGGGCUCAACCCAUGAACUGCAUUUGAAACUGUAGAUCUUGAGUGUCGGAGGGGCAAUCGGAAUUCCUAGUGUAGCGGUGAAAUGCGUAGAUAUUAGGAGGAACACCAGUGGCGAAGACGGAUUGCUGGACGAUAACUGACGGUGAGGCGCGAAAGUGUGGGGAGCAAACAGGAUUAGAUACCCUGGUAGUCCACACUGUAAACGAUGAAUACUAGGUGUGCGGGGACUGACCCCCCUGCGUGCCGCAGUAAACACAAUAAGUAUUCCACCUGGGGAGUACGAUCGCAA